UUUGAUUGCAAAUAUGCAGAUGGAGUCAAAAAGAGAACACACAGAAGGCUGUUGUAUAAAACACAUGUCUCCAGAUUAAAACGUCAAACUAAAGGCAACCAUGGCCUCUGUGACAGAGGGAGAAGCGUCCAUCCAUGUGUAUGGAGCCCUCUCAUCUGAGUGUGCCAGAGCGCAGAAUAACUGAGGAAUUUACGAACGUUCAACACCAUGGCUGUGGAUCUAAGAAUAAUGUAUACACAACUGGAUUUGAUUUGCCCGAAGUCAUUAGUCUUGCUGCAAAAAUCAACACGAGCACUGAAGAGCCAUGGUGGAGGAUGUGGCAGUGGUAUUACCUGCUGGUCAUCUGUUAUCUUUUCCAGACCUAGGUCCUGGUGAGGAAGAGGAUUAAUGCCUGGGCUGGCUGUACAUCAUAGGCUGCAGUCCACCUCUUCCAUGCAGAGCACUGAAGAGCCAUGGUGGCGGGUGUGGCAGUGGUAUUGAGCCUGAGCUGAGGUGCUUGGCAUCUGGAGACUCUAUUUGCAACCUGGCCUUUACCUAUCUGCUUGGAUUCCAGACAGUGUCUCAGUGCAUUAUGGAGACCUGUGGGGCCAUAUAAAGGAGGAUGCUGGCAACCUAUCUGCCACGACCCACUGAGGAAACCUGUAUCACAUCCGACCGUCCAUAGGGCCGCCCAGCAUCGUCUGGGUUUGGCCGGGGUAGGCCG